rnacentral:lncRNA from 1 species
UCUAUAUUUAUUUCUACCAUUAUCCUUAUAAUUGCAUCAUAUUGGAGUCACAAAAAAAUACUCUCCAUCAAAUGCAAUGGAGGCCUACCAAAAAGAUAAACAAUUUUCUGGGUAAGUCAGCAAAGCACAAGAAGUCAGCUACUUAACCACCUGUGUAUUUGAGGGGGAUGAAAGAAAGAGGCAAGUCACGAAGACUUAGUGAGAGCAUAAAAUACAAAACGGACAGGAAAGGUAGCACAAACAUAACACAAGUCUUUACAUCCAAAAAGAAUUUAAAUGACAUUAAAUAAAAGCAAAAUAAAUACAACUCGCUUUUAGAAACUAUUGUAUACUCCCUUGGAAACUUUUAAGACUACAUUAAUCUUGUAUUCAAGAAUAAUUACUUUGUAAAAACUUACAUUCUACUAUGUGCACAUAGACCAUAUUAUCUUUUCGUUGUGGUGAACGAUAAUUAUAGAAGUAUGACAUUUAGCUCGUAGAUUACAUUAUCUCUUUCUUGCAAUGAACAAAUCUUUAGGAGCUAUGGAUAUUCAACCCAUAGAUUGCAUUCUCUCUUCGUUGCAGCAAACCAAAAAUACAUAUAAACUAUGAAUAUUCGACUCAUAGGCUACAUUAUUUCUUCGUUGUAGUGAGCAGUAAUCAAUCAUAAACUCACAAUAAUAAAAAUAAAAGAAAUCCAAUAUCCACUUUUAAAUACCUUAUCAAAACUAUUAAGAAUUUCAAAGAAUAAAUUUCAAUCAAACAAAAAUAAAUAUUUUACUUCAUUCUCAAGUACUCCUAGAAUUCAAAGAUCACAAAAGAGUAUAUUUUGGAGUUUAUUUGCUUCUCCUAAAAGAAUUUAAAAGUUUCACUAAGUAGAUUAGCUAUUCACAACCAAAAAGAAGGCAAUCAAUGUCUUCCAAUGUCAUUGGGAGGAUCAAUCACCAUAUUUUUCACAGAAUCUAAGCAUUUAAAAUAAUAAGAACAAUAGAUUAGACAAAAUUUCCAAAUUUAACAUACAUAAGAUUUUGAGAAAAUCAUAAUAAUUCAUAAUACUUAGUUUUGUAACUCCUCUCACACAACCCAUAGCUAAACUAUGCUAUAAAACACCCAUCUAACUUAAUGGGUUAUAAAUUUACCUUAAAGAGAUCAGAUAAAGAAUUUUAAAGAGAUGAGUGUUGUUCCUUUUUACUCCAAUCACAUUCCCUUGCUGGAAAGUGCCACAAGAAUGCAAUAAACUUGAUGAAUUUUAGAAGAAUAAAAGAUAAGGAGUCGAAGGAUGAGAGAUGAAUAAAAAUGAGGAUGAAGAGGGAGGAUUUAAGAAAUGUGGGUGGAUUCUUGAAAGAAAAUAAUUAGGAAAGGGAGAGGGGGAAUUCUCGGAAGUUCUAAAAUGGGAGGAGGGGGUUGUUUUAUUAUUAUUAUUAUUAUUAUUAUUAUUAUUAUUAUAUAAAUGUGUGUGUUAAAAUGAAAUGGUGUGUUUCACAUAGUUUCAUGUAGGUUAAGUCAAGCCUAAAAGUUGAAGUCUAUGACAUCCUUAACUACAUGCUUUUUAUUUUGUUCUCACUUUGGUAUUAAUAGAGUGUUUUAAUCAUGUAAGUUUCACUUUUUUUUUUGUUCAUUUUAACCUUAGCAUGAGUUUUGAAAUCCUCUAUAAGUCACUUGUCUCAAGAAUUAAUGUAAAAAGUGAUUUUUCUCAUUAAUUGAGGAACUGACAUAGAAAGAUUAUCACUUUCUACUUUGAUCGAUUUCACAUUCAUCAUACGAUAUAGAAUGUCCAAUACAACCAAUAAUAAUGAAAAUCUAUUAUACCUAAUAAACCAGACUUAAACUUUAAUUUUUUUACAAAAAUUAAACUUAUUUAAGCAAAAUCUUAUCGAUCUAACUUAUUUCCUCUUCUAAUCAACCAUCCUAGAAUCAUUCACUCACUCAAUCCAUCCAACGGAAAGAGACUCAACACUAAGAACCUUGGAUCCCACAUAAAAACAAUCAUGAUAAAGUAAUAUGAAAUAACAAGAUUUUUUUUAUUAGUGCCAAACACAGAAUUGAACGGUGAAAAAGCAAUAUGCUAAAAAACAUUGUGUUACGUGUCUCAUCCAAUAAACAUGUGUUGCCAGGUUGGAGUGGUCAUCACGAUCUUAUAAAACAAAUCUGACUGUUUGCACUUCACUUCGUUUCAUUCUCUCAAACACCAAACCCAAGUGAUUAUGUGUUCCUUCAAAACAUGGUUCAAUUUGUUCAUCAUUUUCCUUGCCUCGGCUGCAACACCCAUCUUCUCAUUAACAGAUUCCCCAAAUCAACUCUCCACAAACUUUCUAGAAAUUGCCAAGAAACCUGAAGUAUUUGAUUGGAUGGUGAAAAUCAGAAGGAAGAUUCAUGAGAAUCCAGAAUUGGGUUAUGAGGAAUUUGAGACCAGUAAACUCAUUAGAGAGGAAUUGGAUAAACUGGGUGUCCCCUAUAAACACCCAGUUGCUGUCACUGGUAUUAUUGGCUUCAUUGGGACAGGAAAGUCACCUUUUGUUGCAAUAAGAACUGAUAUGGAUGCACUUCCCAUCCAGGUUUCAUGAGUUUUAUGUGUUUUUUUUUUUUUUUCAUAUGCUUGAACCAAGAUUGACUUUUUUUUAUGAUAGUUUUAUGCGUUGGUUCUCUUGGUUAGGUGGUAAGGGUAAGACAACAAAAGAGUUAUGUUUGCCCUUAAUUAAUUAAUUCCUAAGUUUAUUAACACUUUUUUGUAUAUUCCAUUGAUUUGAUCUCAGGAAAUGGUGGAGUGGGAGCACAAGAGUAAAGUACCUGGAAAGAUGCACGCAUGUGGUCAUGAUGCUCAUGUCGCUAUGCUUCUUGGGGCAGCAAAGAUUCUCAAACAACAUGAAAAACAGUUGCAGGUUUUACUUACUUUUUAUAUUGCCUUCUUUAUUUCCAUUUCCUUUCUAU